rnacentral:rRNA from 1 species
CCACCAGACUCCUACGGGAGGCAGCAGUGGGGGAUAUUGCACAAUGGGGGGAACCCUGAUGCAGCGACGCCGCGUGGGUGAAGGAGUAUUUCGGUAUGUAAAGCCCUAUCGGCAGGGAAGAAGCAAGACGGUACCUGACUAAGAAGCCCCGGCUAACUACGUGCCAGCAGCCGCGGUAAUACGUAGGGGGCGAGCGUUAUCCGGAUUCACUGGGUGUAAAGGGAGCGUAGACGGCCAAGCAAGCCAGGGGUGAAAGCCCGGGGCCCAACCCCGGGACUGCCCUUGGAACUGCAUGGCUGGAGUGCGGGAGGGGCAGUCGGAAUUCCUGGUGUAGCGGUGAAAUGCGUAGAUAUUAGGAGGAACACCAGUGGCGAAGGCGGCUUACUGGACUGUAACUGACGUUGAGGCUCGAAAGCGUGGGGAGCAAACAGGAUUAGAUACCCCAGUA